GACCCGAAAGAUGGCGAUCCAUGCCAGGUCGGAACGAAGCCAGAAGAAUCUCUGGUGGAAGUCCGAAGCACCUCUGACGUGCAAAUCGAUCGUCGGAACCGGCUGCAGGGGUGAAAGACCAAUCGAACCGUCUAGUAGCUGG
rnacentral:ncRNA from 1 species